rnacentral:rRNA from 1 species
UACAGAGGGUGCAAGCGUUAAUCGGAAUUACUGGGCGUAAAGCGCGCGUAGGUGGUUCGUUAAGUUGGAUGUGAAAUCCCCGGGCUCAACCUGGGAACUGCAUUCAAAACUGUCGAGCUAGAGUAUGGUAGAGGGUGGUGGAAUUUCCUGUGUAGCGGUGAAAUGCGUAGAUAUAGGAAGGAACACCAGUGGCGAAGGCGACCACCUGGACUGAUACUGACACUGAGGUGCGAAAGUGUGGGGAGCAAACAGG